rnacentral:lncRNA from 1 species
AGCUUGAAUAAACUCCAAUAGAUAGUGAAGGACAAGGAAUCCUGGCAUGCUGCAGUCCACGGGGUGGCAAAGAGUUGGACAUGACUAUGCUGAACAACAAAUGUGGAGAGAAAAGGACCAAUUCUUGAAUGUUUUGCAAAGAUUUUAUGAAGACCCUUCCUGGUAUCUGGGUGAGAGAGAACUUCAGGACUGUCCCCUGCCUCCACCCCCCCAUUUAUAUCAUAUGAGAACAUAAUGGGAAGUGGCUCUAAAAACUACGAAGAGUGACGUCACCAGACAUUAGAUCUGCUGGUACCUUGACUUUGGACUUUUCAGCCAGUCUCCA